UACCAGCACCCCGAGUGGUCGGGACGUUUAUUGGGCCUAAAGCAUCCGUAGCCGGUUCUACAAGUCUUCCGUUAAAUCCACCUGCUUAACAGAUGGGCUGCGGAAGAUACUAUAGAGCUAGGAGGCGGGAGAGGCAAGCGGUACUCGAUGGGUAGGGGUAAAAUCCGUUGAUCCAUUGAAGACCACCAGUGGCGAAGGCGGCUUGCCGGAACGCGCUCGACGGUGAGGGAUGAAAGCGGGGGGAGCAAACCGG
rnacentral:rRNA from 1 species